rnacentral:lncRNA from 1 species
AUUACAUUCAUAACAAUAUGUCACUAAUUUGAGAUUGAGUUAGUACUUUAUUAGUUCUUCUACAAAUAUAUUGUUUUUGUUAUAUACAAACAUAUAGUGAAACUAUUUAUUACGAGUAUAUUAUCAGAAUAGCUGAUGACAACAAAUAAAAUAAGUAAUAUCUAUUAAACAGUAUCAUAAUAUAAUAGCCCCUAACCAAAAAUAAAAAAACACCUAAUUUACAUGAAGCCCUUCUAAUAAUCAUCACCACCCAUUAUUUAAAUUCCUUUGGUGGCUAUCGCCUUCAUCGCUGCAGCGUCACACAGUGACCCGGCCUCUCUGGGAGGUUUGAACGUGACUCAUCAGCAUGUGGCCUCGCCUCCAGGCUCUUAUAGCCUCUCACCUACAGUCACAGGCAGCCACACUACAGUUCACCACCAGAGCAGGGCUGUAGCAACACAACUGUUUGUGGAGAGAAACCACAAAGCGAACACACAACGAUGAGUUCCAGCCUGCAGGCUCUCGUUAUAUGUUUACUGUUGGGUUGUGCACAAAGCACACCAAACCCACCUGCCACACUAACGUCAUCCUCAGUGAGCAUCAGUUCAACCCUCAGUACCAAAGCAACAACCAGCACUGAGGAAAGCCCUUCAGGUCCAGCACCAUCCACUUCUACACUGUCCUCCACAAGCCUGAGUUCUUCUGCAACGACGACUAAGAGCAUCACCACUACCCCCCCCACUGACACCAUCAGCACCACAGCCAUCAGCACCACAGCCAUCAGCAACACAGCCAUCAGCACCACAGCCAUCAGCAACACCAGCACCACUGACAACAGCACCAUCAGCACCACAGCCAUCAGCAACACCAGCACCACUGACAACAGCACCAUCAGCACCACAUCCAUCAGCACCACAUCCAUCAGCACCACAGCCAUCAGCAACACCAGCACCAGCACCACUGACAACAGCACCAUCAGAACCACAGCCAUCAGCAACACCAGCACCACUGACAACAGCACCAUCAGCACCACAGCCAUCAGCACCACAGCCAUCAGCACCACCUCUAUCACUAACCCUCCUCAUACUACUACCAACGUUGCCCAGUCCACAAGCACAACUAGUUUCACCACCAUCACUACCACAAAGGAACAGGAAGGACACAAGUCUGAUGCUCUGAGCUCAGACAUACAGGUAGAUCGUACGGGCCCCUUAUGGAAAGCAGCUCGCUGGGAAACUUCAGCAACCCCAUGUACGACCCCUGAAUCUUGACUUGGCAAUGAAGACUCUCCAGUCUGCAGAUGGAGGUGUUCUAAGAUACAAAACAAUUGUUGUGUUGCUGGUUUAGCUCACGUAGCUUUUCAAUUUUUCCAAGAUACUAUAAAAUGACUGCUACGAGUUGUCAGAUCAGGAAGAUAACGUUCAUAAGAUGUGUUAGUUCUGAAGAAGCGUGAAAGGAAUGAAACAUGUUGCACGUUGGUGAAGUCCUUCCUGUGUGGUUUGUCAAAAUGAGAACGACAAAUGAGGAGAUGAGAAUUAAGGCUGGAAAAAAUAUAUUAUUAUGUUACUGUAUGCAUAAUGUUUAAUUAAACUAAUUUCUGUGACGUAUCUCAGAUGCUUCUCGUUUAAAACAUGACCAUUAAAAUGUGAGAUGGAGAAACGUGUUUUUAAUUGAAUGUUAAGGUUUUAAAUCCUUCACUGGCUGCGCUUGUUUUUUAUGGUCUGAUGUGAAUGUAAGACAUGUUUUGGUGCAAUAAAGCAAUAAAGGAUACUGUGCA